GACGAACGCUGGCGGCGUGCUUAACACAUGCAAGUCGAACGGAGUGGCGAACGGGUGAGUAACACGUGGGUGACCUGCCCGGCACUUCGGGAUAAGCAUGGGAAAAUGGGUCUAAUACCGGAUAGUGUGGGAUGGGCCCGGGGCCAAUCAGCUUGUGGGGGGGGUAAUGGCCUACCAAGGCGGGGACGGGUAGCCGGCCUGAGAGGGUGGACGCGCACCUUGGUCCUCAGACACGGGCCAGACUCCUCCUGGUGGCAUCAGUGGUGAAUAUUGCACAAUCGGCGGAAGCCUUAUGCAGCGACGCCGCGUGGGGGAUGUCGGUCUUCGGGUUGUAAACUCCUUUCACCAUCGACGCGGUAGAUGGAGAAGAAGCACCGGCUAACUACGUGCCAGCAGCCGCGGUAAUAC
rnacentral:rRNA from 1 species